ensembl:miRNA
ACCGGUAUUGUUGGCCUGGGUCCUGCUAAGACACACGCUUAGACCAGAUGAUACCAGCCCU